rnacentral:lncRNA from 1 species
AAAAAGGUGGGGGUCUAAACCAAUGAAAACGUUUAAGAGAGUUUAGUGGCUCCUAUUUUUGGGGGAGCUGAUUAUUCAGUUUUCAGUAUAAAUAUUCUGCACUAAAGAGGAAGAGAGGAGGGAGAACACGACAGAAGAAGAAAACUGUUGCAGGAGCAAAAUUGCAGGAGCACAAAUACAAGAGGAGACAUUUUCACAGGUUAACAAAACCAGAUACGAUGGCACCACAAGUAACGAUUUUCUUCCACAAAAUUGAAACUACCAAGAAUGCGUGCACCAAACGAGUAGGGUUCAAAAAGACUUUCAUUGUUGGUGAGAGCCUCAUCAAGUGCAUUGUGUCAAAGCCCAUUUAGAGGGCUAGACCUCAGGUCACUCCUAAGGUCCUCAAGACCCAAUUGAAGAAAACUCCGUCCAAGAACGCUCUCCGAAAUGGAAGAAAGAGGGCUGCGCGUGCUUUAAGAAAGAAAGAAGCAAAAAAGGAGUCUAUUGAGGCAAUCUUAUCCCAGCUUUCUGGGACAAGCCCAAUAAUGACUGAGGGCAAGAACACCUUAACCACCCUGGCUGUGCCGACUCCCAAGAGAACAAAUACUUCCCGAUUUGUCCAAAUCAUGAUUGGAUCAAUUCCAGUCAACCUAUAUCCUACAGAUUCUGUUCUGAUGACUUCCACCAACGAAGCUAGAGAUGAAGGUCAAAAGGACGACUUCGUG